rnacentral:lncRNA from 1 species
UGGGAUUCAGAUGGGGAUUCAGAAGCUGAGAGAAGAAAUGACAAUAAGGAUUUAUUUCAUAGGUUUUGUUAUAUUAAUCUUCUUACUGAUCACUUCCAGUUCUUUUCAUUUGUUUUUCUGGAUUUGAGUUACUAUCUGGAGUCAUUUCUUUUUUACUUUAUUUAUUUAUUUAUUUAUUUUGAGACAGGGUCUCACUCUGUCACUCAAUUUGGAGUCCAAUGGCAUGAUCUCAGCUCACUGCAAUCUCCGCCCCCUGAGUUCAAGCGAUUUUCCCAUCUCAGCCUCCUGAGCAUCUGGGAUUACAGGCGCCCCAUACCUGGCUAAUUUUUGUAUUUUUAGUAGAAAUGGGGUCUCACCAUGUUGGCCAGGCUUUUCUUGAACUCCUGACCUCAAGUGAUCACUGCCUUAUAAGCUGGAGUGAGGGAAAUUGGGGUCCCAGUAUUCUCAGUGGGUACUACUGCCCAAGGUAGUCUCCACCCCAUGAGUGCAAGCUGAGAGGAAGACAGGAGCCCCCACCAGUCAGCCACACUUACUUGGGAUAUUUGGGAUAGGUAACUGAAGGCCAGAUGAGAAAUACUGAUGCCCUUUACCUCCAACUGGGAACUGGGGAGAGAAGGAGCCCUAUGUUCUUUGCUAAACCAGUCUGGAGUGGAGUUUCCAUCUCACUGAGUUGGGAAGGUGGAGGGAGGGAGCAUGUCUGGGUUCAAAUAUAACAGACUCUUG